rnacentral:rRNA from 1 species
AUUAAACGCUGGCGGCAUGCCUUACACAUGCAAGUCGAACGGCAGCACGGGGGCAACCUUGGUGGCGAGUGGCGAACGGGUGAGUAAAGCAUCGGAACGUGCCCUGGAGUGGGGGAUAACGUAGCGAAAGUUGCGCUAAUACCGCAUAUUCUGUGAGCAGGAAAGCAGGGGACCGCAAGGCCUUGCGCUCUUUGAGCGGCCGAUGUCAGAUUAGCUAGUUGGUGAGGUAACGGCUUACCAAGGCGACGAUCUGUAGCGGGUCUGAGAGGAUGAUCCGCCACACUGGAACUGAGACACGGUCCAGACUCCUACGGGAGGCAGCAGUGGGGAAUUUUGGACAAUGGGCGCAAGCCUGAUCCAGCCAUGCCGCGUGAGUGAAGAAGGCCU